rnacentral:rRNA from 1 species
GAAACUGGUGCUAAUACCGGAUACACUUUUCUGCUGCGGGGCAGAAGAGGAAAGGUGGCCUCUUGGUCAAAGCUACCGUAUAGGGAUGAGCCUGCGUACCAUUAGCUAGUAGGUGGGGUAACGGCCCACCUAGGCCACGAUGGUUAGCGGGUCUGAGAGGAUGAUCCGCCACACUGGAACUGGAACACGGACCAGACUCCUACGGGAGGCAGCAGUGAGGAAUAUUGCGCAAUGGGGGAAACCCUGACGCAGCGACGCCGCGUGAGUGAGGAAGGUCUUCGGAUCGUAAAGCUCUGUCAGAAGGGAAGAAGUGUUAGAUGGUUAAUACCCAUGUAAUUUGACGGUACCUUCAGAGGAAGCACCGGUUAACUCCGUGCCAGCAGCCGCGGUAAUACGGAGGGUGCGAGCGUUGUUCGGAAUUACUGGGCGUAAAGGGCGCGUAGGCGGCCGGAUAUGUCAGAUGUGAAAGUCCACGGCUCAACUGUGGAAGUGCAUUUGAAACUGUCCGGCUUGAGUAUCGGAGGGGAGUGUGGAAUUCCCGGUGUAGAGGUGAAAUUCGUAGAGAUCGGGAGGAACACCGGUGGCGAAGGCGACACUCUGGACGAAUACUGACGCUGAGGCGCGAA